AGCUUAAUAGCUAGUCCACCAAAAUCAAAAACAAAAUCCCCAAGCCAUCUCAAUACCCCCUAAUACACGCAAUACUACUAAACAAAACAUUUUUCCCCUUUAGUAUAGGCGAUAGAAAAAGAACCC
rnacentral:rRNA from 1 species